rnacentral:rRNA from 1 species
UACGGGGGGGGCAAGCGUUGUUUGGAAUUACUGGGCGUAAAGGGCUCGUAGGUGGCCAACUAAGUCGGACGUGAAAUCCCUCAGCUUAACUGGGGAACUGCGUCCGAUACUGGAUGGCUUGAGUUUGGGAGAGGGAUGCGGAAUUCCAGGUGUAGCGGUGAAAUGCGUAGAUAUCUGGAGGAACACCGGUGGCGAAGGCGGCAUCCUGGACCAACACUGACACUGAGGAGCGAAAGCCAGGGGAGCAAACGGG